rnacentral:rRNA from 1 species
AUUGAACGCUGGCGGCAUGCCUUACACAUGCAAGUCGAACGGCAGCACGGGAGCAAUCCUGGUGGCGAGUGGCGAACGGGUGAGUAAUAUAUCGGAACGUGCCCAGUCGUGGGGGAUAACGUAGCGAAAGCUACGCUAAUACCGCAUACGAUCUAUGGAUAAAAGCGGGGGAUCGCAAGACCUCGCGCGAUUGGAGCGGCCGAUAUCAGAUUAGGUAGUUGGUGGGGUAAAAGCCUACCAAGCCUUCGAUCUGUAGCUGGUCUGAGAGGACGACCAGCCACACUGGAACUGAGACACGGUCCAGACUCCUACGGGAGGCAGCAGUGGGGAAUUUUGGACAAUGGGCGCAAGCCUGAUCCAGCAAUGCCGCGUGCAUGAAGAAGGUCUUCGGAUUGUAAAAUUCUUUUAUUGGGAAAGAAAGAUAUGGCUAGGAAAUGAGCUAUAUUUGACGGUACCCAUUGAAUAAGCCCCGGCUAACUAC